AAAAAAAAAAACUGUGGGCUGUAGAAGAGGGGAAAGAAAUCAAGAAUGGCAGUUCGUCUGCAGCUUUUUGCUCCAAGCAGUGUAGCAAAUGAAGUGAUUUGGAGGCAUUUCUCAUCAGAAACAAUUUCUAGACUCAGUACAGAAUCAUUUAACAAGGCCCACAAGAUUGAUAAAGAUGAUGGUGGUGGUGGUGGCUGCCUCAAAACACGGAUUUUAAAGCUUGUGUACCCACGGCGGAGCGCCACUUCUGUGCUGCAGAAUUGGGUUCUCAUUCUCUGAGCUCCGUUGCAUAUCCAGGCGACUGCUGAAACGGCAGCGUUUCAAGCACGCCCUGGAGAUAUUCACAUGGAUGGAGGCUAAAGAAAGAUCUCGAAUGUCUGCUGCUGAUCAUGCAUUGAGG